rnacentral:misc_RNA from 1 species
UCCUGUGCUCUGGGAAGGUAGACG